rnacentral:rRNA from 1 species
UACGAAGGGGGCUAGCGUUGCUCGGAAUCACUGGGCGUAAAGGGUGCGUAGGCGGGUCUUUAAGUCAGGGGUGAAAUCCUGGAGCUCAACUCCAGAACUGCCUUUGAUACUGGGUAUCUUGAGUCCGAGAGAGGUGAGUGGAAUUCCGAGUGUAGAGGUGAAAUUCGUAGAUAUUCGGAGGAACACCAGUGGCGAAGGCGGCUCACUGGCUCGGUACUGACGCUGAGGUGCGAAAGCGUGGGGAGCAAACAGG